rnacentral:tRNA from 7 species
GCGGAUGUAGCUCAGUUGGCUAGAGCGUCUGCUUGCCAUGCAGAAGGUCGAGAGUUCGAGUCUCUUCAUCCGCU